rnacentral:rRNA from 1 species
CAAUAGCGUAUAUUAAAGUUGUUGCGGUUAAAAAGCUCGUAGUUGGAUUUCUGCUGAGAACGACCGGUCCGCCCUCUGGGUGUGUAUCUGGCUCUUUCUUGGCAUCUUCUUGGUGAACGUUGCUGCACUUGACUGUGUGGAGCGCUACCCAGGACUUUUACUUUGAGGAAAUUAGAGUGUUUCAAGCAGGCAUACGCCUUGAAUACAUUAGCAUGGAAUAAUAAGAUAGGACCUCGGUUCUAUUUUGUUGGUUUCUAGAGCUGAGGUAAUGAUUAAUAGGGAUAGUUGGGGGCAUUCGUAUUUAACCGUCAGAGGUGAAAUUCUUGGAUUUGUUAAAGACCGACUACUGCGAAAGCAUUUGCCAAGAAUGUUUUCAUUGA